UACGGGAGAUCCAAGCGUUAUCCGGAUUUAUUGGGUUUAAAGGGUGCGUAGGUGGCCUAUUAAGUCAGGGGUGAAAGACGGUAGCUUAACUAUCGCAGUGCCUUUGAUACUGAUGGGCUUGAAUACAGUUGAAGUGGGCGGAAUGUGACAAGUAGCGGUGAAAUGCAUAGAUAUGUCACAGAACACCGAUUGCGAAGGCAGCUCACUAAAGUGUGAUUGACACUGAGGCACGAAAGCGUGGGGAUCAAACAGG
rnacentral:rRNA from 1 species